rnacentral:lncRNA from 1 species
GAGAUAGAGUUUAGAUAGGAAGAUAAGAGUCCAAUUCACCUAGGACUCAAAUUUUUGAUGCCACCCAACACCAAUCCUUUUUGCACCCAGAUUUCACAUAGAAAGAAAGGAUUAUGAGAAGUUCUUACAUGCUAAAUAAGAGAGGGGGCGUGGAAAAAUAUUGGUGUCAAAUCUGGUUUGGCGUGGGACUUCACAUGGCGCAUGGAGAGGGAG